UUGUUUCUUUUAUAGCGUGAAACAUGAAAACAAGAACUUGUGAUUGAUUUAUUCUUAGAAAUCUGUGUUUUUGUGGACUUAUGGUCCAACAGAGAGGGAGAGACAAGGUUUUCCAAUAAGAAGCUAUUCAUCCGUCUAUGUGAGUCUCCUCUUCUCAUGGACGAUGAAAGAAAAUGGGAGAACAAGCUUUUGGAUGGAGAAACGAAGCGGUAAGAAAUAUUGGAUGUUAUCAACGAGGAAGCUGGAGCAUUGGCCACGGCUGAGUGAACCAAGAGCUUGAACUUAAUUGUCAUCUAAGCUAAUGCUCUUCAUGACUUUUUAAAGCGGAGUCGGUUGUGGUUAUCGUUGUUAAAGACAAGAGUGGUGUUAAGAAGUAAAAGAAAGCUAGAAAGCUAAGGAAGAAGAUGAAGAUCAAUGAAAAUCGGGUGGUUGGGUAAAGGAGGAGAGCGCAAAAUUUUAAGAAGGUUGUGAUUGGACAUUUGAGGUCUCAUAAGGGAAGGAACUAUAAAAUGAUUUUUACCUCCUGAAUUAUUUGUCGAGGCUGGAGGGG